GACGAACGCUGGCGGCGUGCUUAACACAUGCAAGUCGAGCGGUAAGGCCCUUUCGGGGGUACACGAGCGGCGAACGGGUGAGUAACACGUGGGUGACCUGCCCUCAGCUCUGGGAUAAGCCUGGGAAACCGGGUCUAAUACUGGAUAUGACUCCAUGACGCAUGUUGUGGGGUGGAUAGCCUUGUGCGGCUGAGGAUGGGCCCGCGGCCUAUCAGCUUGUUGGUGGGGUGAUGGCCUACCAAGGCGACGACGGGUAGCCGGCCUGAGAGGGCGACCGGCCACACUGGGACUGAGACACGGCCCAGACUCCUACGGGAGGCAGCAGUGGGGAAUCUUGCGCAAUGGGCGAAAGCCUGACGCAGCGACGCCGCGUGAGGGAUGACGGCCU
rnacentral:rRNA from 1 species